rnacentral:rRNA from 1 species
AACGGGGUCCAUGGGAGCUUGCUCCCGGAAGACCUAGUGGCGAACGGGUGAGUAACACGUGAGAAACCUGCCCUGGAGUGGGGAAUAACUCGGGGAAACUCGAGCUAAUACCGCAUACCCUCGGAUGGUCGCAUGGCCGACCGAGGAAAGAUUCAUCGCUUCAGGAGGGUCUCGCGGCCUAUCAGCUAGUUGUGGGGUAACGGCCUACCAAGGCAACGACGGGUAGCUGGUUUGAGAGAACGAUCAGCCACACUGGGACUGAGACACGGCCCAGACUCCUACGGGAGGCAGCAGUGGGGAAUCUUGCGCAAUGGGCGAAAGCCUGACGCAGCAACGCCGCGUGCGGGAUGACGGCCUUCGUGGUUGUAAACCGCUUUCAGCAGGGACGAAAAUGACGGUACCUGCAGAAGAAGCCCCGGCUAACUACGUG